rnacentral:lncRNA from 10 species
UUUUGUGGUCUUAAUAGGUAAAUUGUCCUGGGACACUCCAAAUGUGAUUUAUUUGUCCCAAGGCCAGUAGAAGUUUCCAUGUAGGUGAAAAUGGAUGUUUGGCUAGUUGAAGAGAAACGGAAAUGAGUUCUGCAAGCUGACUUACCCAGUGGAAAUGGGGAGACACAUUACACCUUAUAGAGAAGCAGUUUCUGAGAGUCAGAGCUGGCUGGAGAAGAACUGCAUGGUCCCUGUCACUGGAGGUAUCUACCAGGUUGUACGGAAGAAGCAGUUCAUAUGUUGGUCCUUAAUGGAUAAAAGGCAUCUGGACCCAAGGAGGUAGUGGAAGUGUAGUGAGAGUGGCGACAACCAUAGAGCAGAGGGGCGUCUAUUGGGGAAGACUUUUUAGAAGAAAGGACAUCUCAACACAAGGCUGAGAAGUAGUUCACCAAGGCAAGUAAAUGAAAAGCACACAUCAGGCUGAGCAUGUAUGAAAUCCAGAUGCAGACACAAGG